rnacentral:rRNA from 1 species
AACGAUUUUUACCGGUUCGCCGGUAACGAUAGUGGCGGACGGGUGAGUAACACGUAAGUAACCUGCCCAGAAGUGGGGAAUAACUUGCCGAAAGGUGAGCUAAUUCUGCAUGUGGUAUGGCUCCCUCGGGAGCCUUACAAAAGGCGAAAGUCGCUUCUGGAGGGGCUUGCGGCCGAUUAGCUAGUUGGUGGGGUAAUGGCCUACCAAGGCUCCGAUCGGUAGCUGGUCUGAGAGGACGGUCAGCCACAUGGGGACUGAGAUACGGCCCCAACUCCUACGGGAGGCAGCAGCUAGGAAUAUUGGGAAUGGGCGAAAGCCUGACCCAGCAACGCCGCGUGGGCGAUGAAGGCUUUCGGGUCGUAAAGCCCUUUUGUAGGGGACGAUGAUGACGGUACCCUGCGAAUAAGCCACGGCUAACUACGUGCCAGCAGCCGCGGUAAUACGUAGGUGGCGAGCGUUGUCCGGAUUUACUGGGCGUAAAGGGCGUGCAGGCGGUUUGCUAAGUCUAGGGUGAAAGCUCCCGGCUCAACUGGGAGAGGUCCUUGGAUACUGGCAGACUUGAGGGAGGUAGAGGAAAGUGGAAUUCCCGGUGUAGUGGUGAUAUGCGUAGAUAUCGGGAGGAACACCAGUGGCGAAGGCGGCUUUCUGGGCCUUUCCUGACGCUGAGACGCGAAAGCGUGGGGAGCGAACCGGAUUAGAUACCCGGGUAGUCCACGCUGUAAACGAUGAACACUAGUGUGGGGGGGUAUCGACCCCC